ensembl:lncRNA
CCUUUACUGCACAAAUGCUUCUCAGCUCAGAAGGUCACAUCUAUUAAUUGUGUCUGUGCUAUAACCCCAGUUAAUUUUUUUUUUCUUUUUUCUUUUUUUCGGAGCUGGGGACCGAACCCAGGGCCUUGCGGUUGCUAGGCAAGCGCUCUACCACUGAGCUAAAUCCCCAACCCCCCCCCCCAGUUAAUUUUUUAAAUUUAUUUUUAGUGUCUCACUAUAUAUACCAGGCUGAUUUGGACUUCCUAUGUAGAGCAGGCAGGCUUCGAACUCACAGAGAUUAGCCUGCUUCUGCCUCGAAGUGCUGGGAUUAAAGGCGUGCGACACCAUGCUCUGCCUUGGGUUUUCGGGGGUAGCAGAGACCUGUCAUCCCCUCAAAUGUGCAAGCGUGGUGAUGUGCCUCUUCCUUCCUGAACUUGAGUGGGCGCUGGAAUCAGGAGCUGUGCCGGUUCGCGCACAAUUCCCAGACUUAACUCCAGAGGGCGCCACUGCCCUGCUUGCACGGAGCCCAACCUAGCGACUUCCCUGCUCCGCAGCCAACUGUGCCUUGACGUCACUCAGCCUUGAUGCCUGUUCCACAAGGUGGGGGAUGGGUUAGGCUUGCAAAAUAUGGCUGAAGGCGCACAGAAAUGCCCUGGAGCAGCACAGCGGUAGGUAAACCACUCUAAGAACCAAAGACCUAAUGUUUCCCCAAAUGCUACUCCUGCAGUCCUGGAGCAAGGCAGAGAGAGGCAGGAGGAUGAAUUCAACGCCAGUCCAGCUACAUGAACUUGUCUCAAGCACAUGUAAGCAAAAUGUAUUCACAUGCCUUUAAUUCUAAAGCCCGGGAGGCAGAGGCAGGUGGAUCUCUGAGUUUGAGGUCAACCUGGUCUACAGAGCAAGUUUCAGGAUAGCUAGAGGUACACAGAGAAACCCUGUCUCCGGAGGGGGAAAAAGUCUUUUUGUUUUUUAAAUUUAUUUAUUUAUUAUAUAUAAGUACACUGUAGCUGUCUUCAGACACACCAGAAGAGGGCAUCAGAUUCCAUUACGGAUGGUUGUGAGCCACCGUGUGGUUGCUGGGAAUUGAACUCAGGACCUCUGGAAGAGCAGUCAGUGCUCUUAACCUCUCAGCCAUCUCUCCAGCCCUAGUUAGUAUUGUUAUAUAUGUACACCUGUGACCAGCUCACACACAUGACUACAGCCUGCUGAGCCUGUUUCUGUUCUUUGUGUGUAGAUGGUUUCAGAGCUGACUGCUCUGCACUGGACAAGCAAUGAGGGUCCCCAGCCCUGGGAGAGGCUCUUCAGCUGUCCUUCGUUGCCUGUAGUUCUGUGUCUAGGGUGAUCCCCGAGACUCGGAUGCAGGAGCUGUGAUGUGGAUGUACCCCUGGGGCUGGGUUCCCACCAUCUCCUGAUCUCUGCAUUGUUGUCGCGGAGGCUUCUCUGCCAAGGGCUGGGAGCUGCACUUGUCUGCAGGUCUAAGGAUGGCAUGACAGCCAGCGCCAGAUGUGGACCAGACAGCAUUGGGUACUGCUGCCACAGAGAGCUCGGCUGCUGUGAG